AGCGGAAUUGCUGAGUUGUAUGGUAACUCUAUAUGUAACUUUUUGAGGAACUGUCAAACUCUUUUCCAAAAUGGCUGCACCAUUUUACAUUCUUAUUAGCAAU
rnacentral:pre_miRNA from 1 species